rnacentral:rRNA from 1 species
UACGUAGGGAGCAAGCGUUGUCCGGAUUUACUGGGUGUAAAGGGUGCGUAGGCGGCACUGCAAGUCAGGCGUGAAAUAUAUGGGCUUAACCCAUAGACUGCGUUUGAAACUGUGGUGCUUGAGUGAAGUAGAGGUAGGCGGAAUUCCCGGUGUAGCGGUGAAAUGCGUAGAGAUCGGGAGGAACACCAGUGGCGAAGGCGGCUUACUGGGCUUUAACUGACGCUGAGGCACGAAAGCAUGGGUAGCAAACAGGAUUAGAUACCCUGGUAGUCCAUGCCGUAAACGAUGAUUACUAGGUGUGGGGGGUCUGACCCCUUCCGUGCCGCAGCUAACGCAUUAAGUUGACCGCCUGGGGAGUACGGCCGCAAGGUUAAA